rnacentral:rRNA from 1 species
AAAACCAAUGCCCUUCGGGGCUCUUUGGUGAUUCAUGAUAACUUAACGGAUCGCAUGGCCUUGCGCCGGCGACGGUUCAUUCAAAUUUCUGCCCUAUCAACUUUCGAUGGUAAAGUAUUGGCUUACCAUGGUUUCAACGGGUAACGGGGAAUUAGGGUUCGAUUCCGGAGAGGGAGCCUGAGAAACGGCUACCACAUCCAAGGAAGGCAGCAGGCGCGCAAAUUACCCAAUCCCGACACGGGGAGGUAGUGACAAUAAAUACUGAUACAGGGCUCUUUUGGGUCUUGUAAUCGGAAUGAGUACAAUUUAAACCCCUUAACGAGGAACAAUUGGAGGGCAAGUCUGGUGCCAGCAGCCGCGGUAAUUCCAGCUCCAAUAGCGUAUAUUAAGUUGUUGCAGUUAAAAAGCUCGUAGUUGAACCUUGGGCCUGGCUGGCCGGUCCGCCUCACCGCGUGUACUGGUCCGGCCGGGCCUUUCCUUCUGGGGAGCCCCAUGCCCUUCACUGGGCGUGCGGGGGAACCAGGACUUUUAC